rnacentral:rRNA from 1 species
GACGAACGCUGGCGGCGUGCCUAAUACAUGCAAGUAGAACGCUGAAGGAGGAGCUUACUUCUCUGGAUGAGUUGCGAACGGGUGAGUAACGCGUAGGUAACCUGCCUGGUAGCGGGGGAUAACUAUUGGAAACGAUAGCUAAUACCACAUAAGAGUAGAUGUUGCAUGACAUUUACUUAAAAGGUGCAAUUGCACCACUACCAGAUGGACCUGCGUUGUAUUAGCUAGUUGGUGGGGUAACGGCUUACCAAGGCGACGAUACAUAGCCGACCUGAGAGGGUGAUCGGCCACACUGGGACUGAGACACGGCCCAGACUCCUACGGGAGGCAGCAGUAGGGAAUCUUCGGCAAUGGACGGAAGUCUGACCGAGCAACGCCGCGUGAGUGAAGAAGGUUUUCGGAUCGUAAAGCUCUGUUGUAAGAGAAGAACGAGUGUGAGAGUGGAAUGUUCACACUGUGACGGUAUCUUACCAGAAAGGGACGGCUAACUACGUGCCAGCCGCCGCGGUAA